GACGAACGCUGGCGGCGUGCUUAACACAUGCAAGUCGAACGAUGAACCCGGAGCUUGCUCCGGUGGAUUAGUGGCGAACGGGUGAGUAACACGUGAGUAACCUGCCCUUGACUCUGGGAUAACUGCGGGAAACUGUAGCUAAUACCGGAUACGACCCUCGGCGGCAUCGCCAGGGGGUGGAAAGAAUUUCGGUCAAGGAUGGACUCGCGGCCUAUCAGCUAGUUGGUGAGGUAACGGCUCACCAAGGCGACGACGGGUAGCCGGCCUGAGAGGGUGACCGGCCACACUGGGACUGAGACACGGCCCAGACUCCUACGGGAGGCAGCAGUGGGGAAUAUUGGGCAAUGGAAGCAAUUCUGACCCAGCCAUGCCGCGUGAAGGAAUACAGCCCUAUGGGUUUUAAACUUCUUUUAUUAUAGAGUAACCGGAGGUACGUGUACCUCCCUGCAAGUAUAUGAUGAAUAAGGAUCGGCUAACUCCGUGC
rnacentral:rRNA from 1 species